UGGCGGACGGGUGAGUAACACGUGGGUAACCUGCCCUUUAGCGGGGGAUAACACUUGGAAACAGGUGCUAAUACCGCAUAAUCUUUUUUCUCGCAUGAGUAAAAAGUGAAAGACGCUUUUGCGUCACUAAAGGAUGGACCCGCGCUGCAUUAGCUAGUUGGUGAGGUAACGGCUCACCAAGGCCACGAUGCAUAGCCGACCUGAGAGGGUGAUCGGCCACACUGGGACUGAGACACGGCCCAGACUCCUACGGGAGGCAGCAGUAGGGAAUCUUCGGCAAUGGACGAAAGUCUGACCGAGCAACGCCGCGUGAGUGAAGAAGGUUUUCGGAUCGUAAAACUCUGUUGUUAGAGAAGAAUAAGGAUGAGAGUAGAAAGUUCAUCCCUUGACGGUAUCUAACCAGAAAGCCACGGCUAACUACGUGCCAGCAGCCGCGGUAAUACGUAGGUGGCAAGCGUUGUCCGGAUUUAUUGGGCGUA
rnacentral:rRNA from 1 species